UUUUUUGAAGUUUUUUGAUUCAUUCUGCUUUGAAUGAUAACGGAAGAUCGGUGUCAUUCGAAAGCUACAGCAUAUGACUUCACGAGAAAAAUAACUUUGGGUCAAUCAGGUUAGUUGGAUGAGUGUAGUAGGUGAAAACAGCUUCCCAGUGGUGAUAAGUGUCAUCCUCGAAUUUUAACUCGUCGAGAUUAUUUCGAAAAUUUUGUAACCAUUUUUUUAAACGGU